rnacentral:rRNA from 1 species
GACGAACGCUGGCGGCGUGUUUAACACAUGCAAGUCGAACGCUGAAGCUCAGCUUUUGUUGGGUGGAUGAGUGGCGAACGGGUGAGUAACACGUGAGUAACCUGCCUCCUUCUUUGGGAUAACGCCCGGAAACGGGUGCUAAUACUGGAUAUUCACUGGUCUUCGCAUGGGGGUUGGUGGAAAGGGUUUUUCUGGUGGGGGAUGGGCUCGCGGCCUAUCAGCUUGUUGGUGGGGUGAUGGCCUACCAAGGCUUUGACGGGUAGCCGGCCUGAGAGGGUGACCGGUCACAUUGGGACUGAGAUACGGCCCAGACUCCUACGGGAGGCAGCAGUGGGGAAUAUUGCACAAUGGGCGCAAGCCUGAUGCAGCGACGCCGCGUGAGGGAUGGAGGCCUUCGGGUUGUGAACCUCUUUCGCUCAUGGUCAAGCCGCAACAAUGGUUGUGGUGAGGGUAGUGGGUAAAGAAGCGCCGGCUAACUACGUG